GAGAUACUAGUAAAAUAUUACAUUGCCUUGUCAAGGCAAAAUUGCAAGUUAGACCCUUGCGUGUCUUU
rnacentral:tRNA from 1 species